GGCGAACGCUGGCGGCGUGCUUAACACAUGCAAGUCGAACGGAAAGGCCCUGCUCUUGCUGGUUGCUCGAUUGGCGAACGGGUGUGUAUCACGUGAGUAACCUGCCCUUGACUUUGUGAUAACUUCAGGAAACUGGGGCUAAUACCGGAUAUGAUCUCCUGCUGCAUGGUGGGCGUUGGAAAGUUUCGGCGGUUGGGGAUGGACUCGCGGCUUAUCAGCUUGUUGGUGGGGUAGUGGCUUACCAAGGCUUUGACGGGUAGCCGGCCUGAGAGGGUGACCGGCCACAUGGGGACUGAGAUACGGCCCAGACUGCUACGGGAGGCAGCAGUGGGGAAUAUUGCACAAUGGGCGGAAGCCUGAUGCAGAAACGCCGCGUGCGGGAUGACGGGCUUCGGGUUGUAAACCGCUUUGGCAUGUGACGAGGCGUGAGUGACGGUAAUGGGUAAAGAAGCACCGGCUAACUACGUG
rnacentral:rRNA from 1 species